rnacentral:rRNA from 1 species
GCGGCAGCUACACAUGCAGUCGAGCGGUAACAGGGGUAGCUUGCUACCCGCUGACGAGCGGCGGACGGGUGAGUAAUGCAUAGGAAUCUGCCCGAUAGUGGGGGAUAACCUGGGGAAACCCAGGCUAAUACCGCAUACGUCCUACGGGAGAAAGGGGGCUCCGGCUCCCGCUAUUGGAUGAGCCUAUGUCGGAUUAGCUAGUUGGUGAGGUAAUGGCUCACCAAGGCAACGAUCCGUAGCUGGUCUGAGAGGAUGAUCAGCCACAUCGGGACUGAGACACGGCCCGAACUCCUACGGGAGGCAGCAGUGGGGAAUAUUGGACAAUGGGCGAAAGCCUGAUCCAGCCAUGCCGCGUGUGUGAAGAAGGCCUUCGGGUUGUAAAGCACUUUCAGCGAGGAAGAACGCCUAGUGGUUAAUACCCAUUAGGAAAGACAUCACUCGCAGAAGAAGCACCGGCUAACUCCGUGCCAGCAGCCGCGGUAAUACGGAGGGUGCAAGCGUUAAUCGGAAUUACUGGGCGUAAAGCGCGCGUAGGUGGCUUGAUAAGCCGGUUGUGAAAGCCCCGGGCUCAACCUGGGAACGGCAUCCGGAACUGUCAAGCUAGAGUGCAGGAGAGGAAGGUAGAAUUCCCGGUGUAGCGGUGAAAUGCGUAGAGAUCGGGAGGAAUACCAGUGGCGAAGGCGGCCUUCUGGACUGACACUGACACUGAGGUGCGAAAGCGUGGGUAGCAAACAGGAUUAGAUACCCUGGUAGUCCACGCCGUAACGAUGUCGACCAGCCGUUGGGUGCCUAGCGCACUUUGUGGCGAAGUUAACGCGAUAAGUCGACCGCCUGGGGAGUACGGCCGCAAGGUUAAAACUCAAAUGAAUUGACGGGGGCCCGCACAAGCGGUGGAGCAUGUGGUUUAAUUCGAUGCAACGCGAAGAACCUUACCUACUCUUGACAUCCUGCGAACUUGUGAGAGAUCACUUGGUGCCUUCGGGAACGCAGAGACAGGUGCUGCAUGGCUGUCGUCAGCUCGUGUUGUGAAAUGUUGGGUUAAGUCCCGUACGAGCGCAACCCUUGUCCUUAUUUGCCAGCGGGUAAUGCCCGGGAACCUCUAAG